AGUUAUUCAGAUCUGUCACCCACACACACACACGGCAUCGUAGUGGCAUAGCUCACUUGGUAUCACUCUUCCACGGGGCUUAGGUUACUGUGCGCUGACAUCAAGAAAAGCAGGACUAACUCUCCUCUUAGGAGUAAUGGCUUCGCCCCCGUCCCCUAUACCGAUAAAGGAUGACGUGGGAGGUACCAAGCCUCUACAGGGUGAACGCAAAGAAACGACAAGACUCACCCAAGAAGGUUCUAGGAGGCCUUGGGACGUGUCUUCGGCCUCAGCUCUAAUGCGACGGAUUCUGACAGGGUCUCGUUCCCGAUAGACCCGGUACAGCCGCGGGCCCACAAUGCAGCUCAGCAACUUCGCCAUCUUGGGACUGACCUGAAGCCGAAAGGCACCGGCAGGGAGAAGGGGCACUUCAUAAGGGCAAGGGGUGCCCGCCGCGCCGUUAUAUUUAAAGGAUCCGUAGCCUGUUUUGCUGGAGGAUAAACCUCACUGAGAUCAAUGGGGUUUAUUUCCAACCCUGCCAGAUAGAACCCCAAAGAAGACAAUGUCUCGGCGAAAAAACAAAUUUUCUGACGAACUUCAAGAACAAUAUCCGAUGUUCAAGAAAGCCAAGGCUGAUUAUGAGGCGUACUGCCAAUACGCCAGUAAAGGGCAAUAGAAAUCGUUAACAUUUUAGAAUCCGUUGAAGAUAUUUUACUGGCGCGAAAGUCUCAAGAAUUUCUUCCGCUCAAAGUUAAAGAAAUUUUUAGAAUUAAUUCUAAUGAACCAAGAUCCGGCACUAUGAAAGGCGAGUUUGUCAACGUAUAUGACAGAGCUUUGGAAUAUCUCAAAAAUUGGACGUCUUCUCUAGAGGAAUUUAAAAAUUUCAGAUGGAUGAAAUUAAAAGACAGACCAGCUUGGAAUGAAAUUGAAAAAACUCUUGUGUAUUUAAAAAUGAAAAAUGUAGAAAUCGAUGACGCUUUGUUAUUCGACUAAGCUAAUUUAAAUAUAUUUUUGGAAAACAUGGACACGAAUGCAGAAUUUUCAAGGAAAAUAUCGUUGGAUAAAUGGGUAGAUUACUUCAAAAAAGGGAAUAAAACUGCGAGUUCUGAGUUUUUAAAAAUAUGUUCUUUCAUUUUUGCAAUACCAAGCCACAAUGCUAAUGUUGAAAGAGUGUUCAGCAUGAUGAACGCUCAAUGGAUUGAUGAAAGAAAUAGACUGGCUGUCAACUCUGUGAAAAAUUUGUUAAUGGUUAAAUAUAACUUCAAAAAAAUUGAUUGCUUACAAUUUUACAGUUAUUGUACGGAAAACAAAAAAUUGUUAGCCGAAGUUUGAAGUAAGGCAAAAUAUUCAUUCAAUUAAAAUUUUAUAUUUAUAUUACAUGUUUUGUUAAAGUUCUAAUUAUUGAUCUCUUUCAUGUAUGUUUAUUGCAAAAGUACUUGCAAUGUACAUGGUUACCUACUUUAAUUUGUGACUUAAUUUGAUUUUUGUGAUGAUACUAAUUGAAGGUUCUGGUCUUUCAAUUAAAAUUUUAUAUUUACGUCAAUAAAAAUCCAGCCCCCGGAUCAUCAUCUUCUUUUAAA